rnacentral:rRNA from 1 species
AUGCAUGGAAAAAAGAAUCCUUCACAGAAGGACAUAUUUAAGAUUCAAUGUAUUUCAUUCCAUCUAAACAUAGCAUUACAAGAUGCAAUUCCUGGCUGGAAUGAUGAUGUUUUUAGAUGGCGUCGCAUCAUACCAAUUGGAGUUCCAAAAAACCCAAACAGCAAUAUGUCUGGGUUUUUAGUUUUAAAGAUUAUGCGCACGUGGCAUGAUCAUGAACAUGGAUUACCAGUUGUCCCGGUGUUGGUACACUUGCUGUCGUACAAGGACAAUGAAUGCGUAGAAAAUAUUCCACAAGUCGUGCGUGAUUUGGUGAAGAGAAUUGGGAUAAACUUUUUUUAG